UCACAUUUUCCCCCAAAUUGAAAUCAGACCUGCCACAACCUAGUGCCACCACCACCACCACCCACCCCACCACCCACCACCAUCGGUUCAUCACCACCAAAAGACUGGUACAACAAACCCCAAAUUCUUUCCCUAAACCCUCAAACCACCACCUUUUUUUCUUCUCAGCCCGAAACUCACCACCACUUCCCUCGAGCUCAUGGUGCCAAGAAGAAUCCAUGAAAGAAAGGAAUCAAUGAAACUAAGAUUUGCUAGCAUCAAUUUAUUCAACCAAAUAGCAUCUGAUCAAUUCGAAAAGAAGAGAAGUGGAAAAUCAUACAUCAUAAAAACAAAGAAAAGAAGGCUCAGAUCCGUUUAGAAAGAAAGAAAGGGAGCGGGAGCAAGAGGAUUAUCUGCCAUGGCUGCAAAAAGAGAGGUUGCAAUGUGCAGAGCACUUCACCCUCCUCUGAUUUUUCCUUACCAAGCUACAUAUCAUCCCUAAAUCUUGUCCCAGUUUGAAGAAGUUGGAUCAGAAUACUAUCAUCACAGCCUUUAAAAGUUGUUAAAGAAUAUGAGGGGGUGGAGGUGGUUGUGGUGGAAUGAGGAUUACGAAGACGAAUAAACGUAACCCUAAUUUUCUUCCCCAAUUGGCAGGUAGUGCUUUUGUGAGAAAAUCAGCUGAAUCAUUGUGGGAUUGGACAUAUCUCAUCUUGACCUGACUGUCUUUAAUAAGGUCCCGAGUAUAUGCAAAGAAUCUUGGUGGUAUAUGUUUUGUUCUAUCAUUUUUGAUAUACACUUCUUUCAUUUGAGAGACACAAGCUACAUUAUCUUCGUGGAUAGGAGUUGGACUUCGAUCUUUCUCAAGCCCAUAAGAAGUCAAUAUGUGUUAUGACAUAGAUGUUUACCAUACAUGUUCUCUUGAAGCUUAAUGUAAUGCAAUGACUUCAACAUGGUUCGAGGAUGUCGCAACACGUGUUUGUUUCUGAGAACGACAUGAAAUCGUAGUUCCUCCAUUCAUAAA